rnacentral:rRNA from 1 species
GAUGAACGCUGGCGGCGUGCCUAACACAUGCAAGUCGAGCGGCAGCGAGGGGUGCUUGCACCCUGUCGGCGAGCGGCGGACGGCUGAGUAACGCGUGGGAACGUGCCCCAAAGUGAGGAAUAACUGCCCGAAAGGGUAGCUAAUACCGCAUAUUAUCUUCGGAUCAAAGGAUUUAUCCGCUUUGGGAGCGGCUCGCGUCGGAUUAGGUAGUUGGUGAGGUAAUGGCUCACCAAGCCGACGAUCCGUAGCUGGUCUGAGAGGGUGACCAGCCAGACUGGAACUGAGACACGGUCCAGACUCCUACGGGAGGCAGCAGUGAGGAAUCUUCCACAAUGGGCGAAAGCCUGAUGGAGCAACGCCGCGUGCAGGACGAAGGCCUUCGGGUUGUAAACUGCUUUUAUAAGUGAGGAAUAUGACGGUAACUUAUGAAUAAGGAUCGGCUAACUACGUG